CUCACUGAGUCCCUUUUCAAUCUUUUGGGGACUGCAUGUUACUUUGAUAAGUAAACAGUGGCAAAAGUGGCACUGUUCCCUUGAAAAAAGGGGAGGGUAGAUGAGGCAAGAAAAUAAUUGGUGGAUUAAUAUCAAUAUAAAAGAGACCUGAGAGAGAGAAAGAGCAGCAUUCGAGCCAUGAUGAAGACUUUGUGUGUUGGCUUUGUUGUUGUCCUGAGUCUCACCUCAGUGUGCAAGCCUGUGCCAUUGGUCGGUGAACGGUCAGAGGAUCAAAGUCCAGAUCUGACUGGUUAUUGGUAUGCCAUUGCUGUUUCCUCUGAUGUCUGUUGGUUUAAGGCAUUUUUGAGUUCCUUUCUUAAACCAAGUUUUACACUUGGUCUUUUAAGGGACACAUCAAACGUCUAUGAUGCCACCUUGAGGAUGAAAUGGUAAACAUUUAACUUAUUGUGUCAGGCAAUAAUUCCAUCGUCAUCAUACAUUUCCUGUGCAGUUGGUUAUGGGCUUAUAAUGUUUUUGAAUCCUUUUCAGGUUUGGAAUUUGCCUCCAAGAUACAAGAACGUUUUUCUUGAGAAACAACCAAAUAUUUCCUGUUGACAGAAACAAUGGCACAACUGGAAUGCCGACAUCAACUGUGCUGCUGCAAAUUGGCUGUCCUGACUGUAUAGUUUUAAAAAAUGAAGACUUCUCAAACACUUCGCUUCUCCUCAGUAGGAGAACAAAUAUCACUGCUACUCAGCUGGAGGAGUUUAGGAAACAGGCAGCGUAUUACGGCUUGCUAAACCCUCAUUUGAUGAGCUCAGAUCAUGACUACAAAAAUUGCACUCGAAUGUUACCUGGCACAACUCAACCAGAUUUUUCUGAUUCAGGAAUACUAUCCCCGGAAAGCCUGGAAAGGUUGGAAAUCGAGUAUACAGAGUGUGUUCUUGAGAGAUUUCCUCAAUAUUCCAGAGAUACCUUUGAUUGGCUUCAGCAUUUUCAAAUGUCUGUUGGAGGACAGCACUAAAGCAUCACUGUAAUAGAUGUUCUACAAUUCUACAAUUCACUUAGCAAAUGCUUUUAUCCAAAGAGUAAGUACAACAGUAAUCCAUUCAUACACCUCCACCAAAGCAGUGGGGAUCGAACCCUCGAUCUUCCGGUUGAGAGGCAACAACUCUACCAACUGAACCACAGCCGCUGAUGUCAUCUCAUAGGUCAUGUCUAGCAAAAAGCAUACAAACUAUUUCAUUAAAUCUACUUAUUUUUCAAUGAUUAUAAGCAAAUAAAUUAAUAAAGAGCAAUAACGUGUGAUUAUUUCUUCGUAUGAUACGCCAUGAUCGCUAAGCCCCAUCAGCUUUAAUCCGUUUAAUGCAACUGUCAUAAGAAUCUGGUACAGUGGACCUUAGGCAAUAUUCAGUCCCUUAUAAAGAGUACAGUCUUGACCUGAUCUAUUUAUUAAGUGUCUUUAGAUUUGGAUAUUAGACUUAUUAUUUGACUUAGUUUUACUUGGACUUCCAAUGCCCCUGAUUCAUGUUACCUUAUUUAAAAAAUUCAGUUGCAGACAAAUUGAUUUAUAGUGAAUAAGAAAGUACAAAAUUUGGCACAAUUACAGGCCUUCUUACAGACAAGGCUCAUUGUUUUUAUCAAAGAGUUACAGCAUUUUAAACACUAAUAUAACAGAUAUCAAAUAUAUCCUAAAUAUAGCCAAUAUUGGU